rnacentral:rRNA from 1 species
UGGGUAACCUGCCUCAAAGAGGGGAAUAGCCUCCCGAAAGGGAGAUUAAUACCGCAUAAUAUGUUUAAAUCGCACGACUUUAACAUCAAAGGAUUUUCUUUUAGAAAUUCCACUUUGAGAUGGACCCGCGGCGCAUUAGCUAGUUGGUGAGGUAACGGCUCACCAAGGCAACGAUGCGUAGCCGACCUGAGAGGGUGAUCGGCCACAUUGGAACUGAGACNCGGUCAGACUCCGUACGGGAGGNAGCG